UCUAAAAUUAUACCUAAAACGUUAAUUUUGAAACAAUCUUUUAAUCAAACUGAUAACUCUGCCAUUAACGGAUUACGUGGGCUACGUGCACAAUGACCUUGAAACUUAAGGGUUGGUUUGAUCUGGGUUUUCAAGUAGCAGGGAAGUGUUGGCUGCUGCUGCUCCGCUCCUCAACGCUCAUUUUUUACACAUCGCAUCGUCGAUCCGAUCCCGGCUCCAAUCCGCCAAACAGUGUGAUUUUGUGUGAAAGAAUCAAAGAUGUUGGGAAUUUAAAGCCAAAAAGUGGGAGCUGGAAGCUCAUCAGCUAUGAUUUUGGGGCGGAGGAUCCGCCCCGCCACGUCGGCAAUGAGGGGUUUCGCAUCUUCGGCGAAAGAGAUCGGGCGAUUCCGGAGGCCCUGCCAUUGAGAAGUACGAAAAUUGUUUUGCCCCUUAUGUAUCCUGCUUCUUUCUGUCCCUGUGUUCUUUGUUCAAAGUUGAUAAUCAGAAAGAUAAGAACUGUUUGUCGUCAAUUCAAGGCCUCUUGAAUUUUGAAUUGUGAUUGGAAAUUGCAGUCCACACAUGGAGUAUAGGAGGUGCGGCUUUUCGUAUUUUUGGCCUUUUUUAUCAGCUGUUGUAACAUUUUUGUAAUAGAGGAUUUUGGGUCUUUGAAAUGGUUACGUGUUGUUUUUAACUUUUUGGUUCUCGUGUGUUCUGUUCUUCAUUGCUUCGUGAUUCUCAUUUUUCAGUAUUGGAUUUCGGCAUGGGAAAGUUCACCUUGUCUAAUUAGAUUGUGUAUGCCUUUAGUUCUUUAUUUAAUUGUUCUGUUUGCGUUCGGUGUGAUGAUCAAAAUUUUAUAUGUUUGGAAUUAUUCACUUAACACCAAUUUGUUACAUUCAGGUCUCCACCCCACACUUCACAAGUUCAAUAGAAGACGGUUCUGUAGAUUGUGUCUGCAAUUAGAUCAGAGAUCAACCGUUAUUUUGUUAUCAUUUAAAUUAUAUAAGUCGCGCGUAGAACGCCUUAAUUACAAAAGGGUCUUCCGCACGCGCGUGAGUGCGUGUAGGGAGGCUAGUAUUAACUAAAGUUGAUUUGAAUGUGAUGAUGAUGGCAACCACUAACAAUAAAACAACAAUCUCCUUAAUCUAGGAGAAAGAACCAACAGGUGAGGAAGAAAAGAAAGGAGGAAAGAGAGCUCUGCACAUGCAAAUGUCACUGUACAUGUGCUUCUUGGGGAUGUUGGAGCUGGGAAAUCAAGUUUGGUGUUGCGCUUUGUAAAAGAACAAUUCGUUGAAUUCCAGGUUUGUUCUAUAUCUUUCAAAGGAUGCAUUUUCUUUUUUAUCCAUACCUUUACUUUUAUAGUAUGUUAUUACAAGAAUCAAUUGCCACCCUUAGUUGGUGGUAUUAUCUUUACAACACAUUCAAAGCAGCGAUUUUUUCUGUCAAUUGGACUACUAGAAAACUAUAGAAAUAUUUGGUGAAAGCAAUGAAGAAAUCAUUAUGAUUGAUCUGCAAAGAAGCUCUAAUAAGUUACAAGAGAGUAGCAAUGUAAAUUGAACUACUUAUUUUAUGGAUCAAUUCACCUAUCUCUUGCUUCUUCUUUCA